AGGAGGAUCCACAGCUAUAUAAUGAGUACAAUAUUACAGCCAGUUGUGGGUGGGCUCUUUUGACCAAUAAGGAAACACCUAACAUUUAACAUCUAGGUGAUUGCUUUCUGAGGUCUCAGUCUCAGCCUCAAGAUAUGUGAUAGCUGUUACAUUUAUGCCCGCAGAACAUUUUAGAGAGGCAAACACUGCAUUGUGAAUUUAAUGUUGUUUCUUUUGUUGUCUUGCCUGAAUGUCAACAGCAUGAUCAGAGCAAUCAUUUUAGCCAUAAUCACUACUUUAUGGUUAACAGUUUGUGUGGUCUGUUCUCCUGUCAUUCAGCAGUCUCCCAAACAUCUUCUACAGACUGAGAAGGAGAAACAGGCAAAGCUUUAUUGUCAUCAUGGUGACAACAGCUAUCCAUACCUGUACUGGUAUCAGCAGAAAAGCAAUGGUGGUUCUUUAGAACUUAUUGGAAUGCUCAGUUAUGAAGCAGCUUCUCCAGAGGAUAAAUUCAAACUCCGAUUUAACAUCACAGGACAUGCAAAAAAGGAUGCAUUCCUGAUCAUCUCCAACAUAUCUGCUGAAGACAGCGCAGUGUAUUUCUGUGCAGCUAGUAUGCACAGCCGUACAACUCCUUAUAACUGCUGACAAA